GGGGUUGUGGCUCAGCGGUAGAGCACUUGCCUAGCAAGUGUGAGGUGCUAGGUUUGAUCCUCAGCACCA
rfam:Ictidomys tridecemlineatus contig090497, whole genome shotgun sequence.